UAAAGAAUAUUGGUCAAUGGACGCAAGUCUGAACAAGCCAUGCCGCGUGAAGGAUGAAGGUCCUCUGGAUUGUAAACUUCUUCUAUCUGGGACGAAAACGGGGUUUUUAUCUCAAUUGACGGUACCAGAGGAAUAAGCACCGGCUAACUCCGUGCCAGCAGCCGCGGUAAUACGGAGGGUGCGAGCGUUAUCCGGAUUUACUGGGUUUAAAGGGUGCGUAGGUGGGCUUAUAAGUCAGUGGUGAAAUCUCCGAGCUUAACUUGGAAACUGCCGUUGNUACUAUAGGUCUUGAAUUAUCUGGAGGUAAGCAGAAUAUGUCAUGUAGCGGUGAAAUGCUUAGAUAUGACAUAGAACACCAAUUGCGAAGGCAGCUUACUACAUAUAAAUUGACGCUGAGGCACGAAAGCGUGGGGAUCAAACA
rnacentral:rRNA from 1 species